rnacentral:rRNA from 1 species
UACGGGGGGGGGCAAGCGUUGUUCGGAAUUACUGGGCGUAAAGGGCGCGUAGGCGGCCUGCUAAGUCGGAUGUGAAAUCCCUCGGCUCAACCGAGGAACUGCAUCCGAUACUGGCGGGCUUGAAUCCGGGAGAGGGAUGCGGAAUUCCAGGUGUAGCGGUGAAAUGCGUAGAUAUCGAGAGGAACACCUGCGGCGAAGGCGGGUUGCUGGGCUGAUACUGACGCUGAGGCGCGAAAGCCAGGGGAGCGAACGGG